CCUGAAGUAUCCCCUUCAGCGCCCUAGGUGGCGUGCUUGGUACGCGCUGUGUAUCUGGUGCGAAGCCCACUGACAAUGUACCGAAUCGGGUUUGAAUGGCAACAGGAGAACCCCUCCGGAAACUCCAUCCGGUUAAGGGC
rfam:Geobacter sp. M18, complete genome.